AUUGAACGCUGGCGGCAGGCCUAACACAUGCAAGUCGAGCGGAUGAAGGGAGCUUGCUCCUGGAUUCAGCGGCGGACGGGUGAGUAAUGCCUAGGAAUCUGCCUGGUAGUGGGGGAUAACGUCCGGAAACGGGCGCUAAUACCGCAUACGUCCUGAGGGAGAAAGUGGGGGAUCUUCGGACCUCACGCUAUCAGAUGAGCCUAGGUCGGAUUAGCUAGUUGGUGGGGUAAAGGCCUACCAAGGCGACGAUCCGUAACUGGUCUGAGAGGAUGAUCAGUCACACUGGAACUGAGACACGGUCCAGACUCCUACGGGAGGCAGCAGUGGGGAAUAUUGGACAAUGUGCGAAAGCCUGAUCCAGCCAUGCCGAGUGUGUGAAGAAGGUCUUCGGAUUGUAAAGCACUUUAAGUUGGGAGGAAGGGCAGUAAGUUAAUACCUUGCUGUUUUGACGUUACCAACAGAAUAAGCACCGGCUAACUUCGUG
rnacentral:rRNA from 1 species